UGAGGAAUAUUGCGCCAUGGACGAAAGUCUGACGCAGCAACGCCGCGUGGGCGAUGAAGGCCUUCGGGUUGUAAAGCCCUUUUCUGAGGGACGAGAGAGGACGGUACCUCAGGACUAAGUCUCGGCUAACUACGUGCCAGCAGCCGCGGUAAAAAGAAGGAGGCGAGCGUUAUCCGGAUUUAUUGGGCGUAAAGCGCGUGCAGGUGGUAUCGUAAGUCGGAUGUGAAAGCCUCUGGCUUAACUAGAGGAUGUCGUUCGAUACUGCGGAACGUGAGGUCGGGAGAGGGAAGCGGAAUUCGCGGUGUAGUGGUGGAAUGCGUAGAUAUCGGGAGGAAGACCAGUGGCGAAGGCGGCUUCCUGGCCCGCACCUGACACUAAGACUCGAAAGCGUGGGGAGCGAACG
rnacentral:rRNA from 1 species